rnacentral:rRNA from 1 species
AUUGAACGCUGGCGGCAUGCUUUACACAUGCAAGUCGAACGGCAGCACGGGUGCUUGCACCUGGUGGCGAGUGGCGAACGGGUGAGUAAUAUAUCGGAACAUGUCCGGAAGUGGGGGAUAACGUAGCGAAAGUUACGCUAAUACCGCAUAUGCCCUGAGGGGGAAAGGAGGGGAUCGUAAGACCUUUCGCUUUCGGAGUGGCCGAUAUCAGAUUAGCUAGUUGGUGAGGUAAAGGCUCACCAAGGCGACGAUCUGUAGCGGGUCUGAGAGGAGGAUCCGCCACACUGGGACUGAGAAACGGACCAGACUCCUACGGGAGGCAGCAGUGGGGAAUUUUGGACAAUGGGCGAAAGCCUGAUCCAGCCAUGCCGCGUGUCUGAAGAAGGCCUUCGGGUUGUAAACUGCUUUUGUACGGAACGAAAAGGUUUGGGCUAAUAAGCUGAGCUCAUGACGGUACCGUAAGAAUAAGCACCGGCUAACUACGUGCCAGCCGCCGCGGUAA